AGGUGGUGCAUGGCUGUCGUCAGAUCGUGUCGUGAGAUGUUGGGUUAAUUCCUUUAACGGGCGUAACUCUUAUUUUUAAAAUAUUUUUCGUAAUUUAUUAUUAAUUUCGUUUUAAAAAAACCAACAAUAAUAAGUUGAAGGAAGUGAGAACUAAGCCAAGUCACUGUGGCCUUAAUGGAUUGGGCUACACACGUGCUACAAUGAAAAUUACAAAAAGUUACUAAAAAUUAAAAAUUGUAGUUAAUCUUUAAAAUUUUUCUUAGUUCAGAUUAUAAGCUGCAACUCGCUUAUAUGAAGGUGGAAUCACUAGUAAUCGCAAAUCAGAAUGUUGUGGUGAAUAUGUAGCUUGGCCUUGUACACACCGCCCGUCA
rnacentral:rRNA from 14 species